ACUCACCUGGCGGCUGCCACGCGCCCCCGCCCAGGAUCCGAAGCCUGGGGCAUCUGAAUGAGGACCCUCCACCCACAUUUCCACUUGGGAGCGAGCUCCAGUCGGGGGAAGGGCCUGCAGCCCGCCUCGUCCCCACCCUGGGACCCCGCGCCCCCCAGUCCCCCACUCCCGCGCCGAAGGCAGGGCCGCGCCCUGAGCCGGGAAGUCGAGGGGAUGGAAGGGAAAGGAGCCACCGGUGAGGGUCCCCCGGGUUCUGAGCCUCCCGCGUCGGGAUCCGUGGGGCGCACAGAGCGCCACCUCCGGCCGAGGCGCAGCUCAGAGCGCGAUGCGGGGGAGGAACGCGCGCGGAGGCCGAGGUCUGAGCGUGGCUAGACGGCUCCCACGCCGAGAAAGGGCGGGUGCGCCUGGGCUGGAUGGAUUUCGCCUCCCUAGACCAGGAGGGAUUGGACCCUGACUACAGGUCCAGGUGCUCGUCAGUGCCCUGCCAGGGGGUCUACGCGUCCUGGUACCGGGUCCAGCGGGGUGGCGUGCUGUGCAGACCCCGAGGCUAGACGGCCUAGGCCCCUGGAGCCCAGGAGACGCUUCCUUGGGUGAGCAGGGGAGAAUCCCGCCCGCCCCAGCCGUCACCCCCAACCCUGUGGAUUAAACCCCUGCCCCCGUCGCGGUCGCCCUCCCUCCAGACAAAGGCCGUUAAGGCGCAGCCCCGCAGGCGGUCUUUCAUCCCCAGCUAGGCCAGCUCUAGCAUUUCAAAGGCCGAAUCCGGAGAGCGCUUCGGGGGCUCUCCCCUUCCCCCAAAUAUUUGGGGGGCGAGGCCUCUCCCUCCGCUCCCAGUGGGUCGCGUCUACACGCGCCCUUCCACACACCUGCAGCCCCCCUCCCCACGUCUCUCCCUUCCGUUGGCCGCAGCCCCACACCACGACCCCCGCGGUAAAGCAUGCCCCCUGGGUGGUCAGGACCAAGCGGGGCCGGGACAGAACCAGGGGAGCCUUGGAAACGUGGAGGAGCCCCUUAAAGCCAGGCCUUGUCCCUCCAGGGGGAACUUGCGGCUUGGGAGGGGACACCCACUGGAUGGCUUCUGGAAAGAGCCGGACUCGCAGGGCCAGGAGGCAGGCCGGACCCCGGCCUCAUUCUUCGGCCAGUUAUCCCGGAGUGGCGCGCAUCCUGUCUUCCUGGGCCUCGGACUGCUCGCGCGCAGAGGGGGCCCGAGGACACCUCUGUGGGGUUAGAGGACUCGGUAAGACGGUGUGGAAGGCAAGGAGGAAGGUCGCGUUGUAUUGGGGAUGGGGUACCCGUCCCUCCCAGCUUGAGGGAUCCUGGGGGUCCUCGCCGCCUCUGAGGGCCUAGAUGGCUGCUUCCCUCGGCUCCCCUGCCCGGCCUGGAGCUACGGGUGCGCCCAGCUAGAGUUUAGGGCCACCUGGGGACGUGCAAGGGGCGCUGGAGCGAGGCGGGGGCUGGGGCGGGGCGUGGGUGCUUCACCCGCGGGGGACGCAGAGCUUAGGCGAAAGCGGUGCAGGCAUCUCUCUAAUCGCCGGCCGCUAUUAAAAAUAAAACCGCGACCCGUCGCCAUGACGACCACAACAACAGCGGCCGCGCGAGGGAGGCGAAAACUUGUGCAGCCGCGCGACAGCCGCCUUCUGGGGAGACUCGGGGCACGGCGCACCCGGCGUGGGACUGCGACCCCCCUGCCCGGCCCCGCCACAUUCUCCGCCGGAUCCCCGGAAGAAACAAGGAGACGUGGACCCCCACAGGCUUUUUGGGGGGAUUGGGCGCUGAAACCGCAGGGCUGACUUAACCAAGAGGUCACCGACUUGGAUAAAAAACCCACGCCCGCGCGGCCCCCCCUCCCCGGCCUUCGUUUCCAUUCAAACUCCCAGCGUCCUCAUUGCAGCCCCUGGGGAGGGGGACGGAGGGACGAGGUGGGUUUCAGGUGCUCGGCCCAGGAGGGGACGGUGCGACCCGGGCCCCGCCGGCGGGUUUUGCGCGCGGAGGCUGCAGCACCUGCCCCGCCCGCCCUGCCGCGAUCCUUGCAGAUGGGGGCGGUCACAUGCUUCUUUCUGGCCAGGAAUCGAGUUUCACUUCCAGCCGCUAUUAGUCGGUUCACACAGUUCACUGCAAACAUUUGAUAAUGAGGCUAAAUAUACUCCCGCGUCGGAGGAGGCGUGGGCGUCCCCGCCCAGGCCCGGGAGACAGAGGCGCGGACCCCGGGACGGAGCCUGGCUUUGUGCGGGAGGCAGACGCGCCCCGCGCGCCGCCCCCGAAACAUUCGCACCCCAUGCUGCGGCGCGCGUCUGGGAGUCCGUGGGCGCCCCGAGGUGAGCCCGGGGCCCCUGGCGGAAGCAGCGGGGAGCUCCCGGCGGGUGCGGGGAGGUGCUGGUGGGAAGCAAGGUGCACCUGGCGGCCUGGGAUGUCCGGUCGCCCCCGGAGCCGGUGCAUCCGGCCUCUCCCGGCGCGCCCCGACGUGCCCGCGGGCCCAUAAUUACCGUGAGUCAGGUGCCCCAAAUAGGCCGAGCGAGGGGGGCCGUCGCGCAGCAGGGGCGGGUGGCCGGACGUCUGCCCGGGACUGGUUGCCUCCCGCCCCUCCCCAAGACCCUGGCACCCAGGGAGGGCGGGAAAGGCCUUGGCCAUUCCUCUGGGUAGGGGACUGGAGAGAAGAAACUUUCGCCGAGCCCAGCGCUGCCCCCUCAUACCCAUCCCCACCCAAACUGCGUGUCCGGGGCCCCUCCGGGGCUUGGCACCAGCAGGCACGCAGCGAUCGCCGUCGUUGUUAUUUAGUAGUAGCAGUAACGGCUGACAUUUACAGCGACGUCAAUGGCGCCAGGUGCCAAGCUCUUUCCUUGUAUAAUUUCAUGGACACUCACGCAUCAACUCUAAGCGAAGACUUGGAGCAGGGCUCAGCACCCCAGGGGUACCUCUGCAACCUCGAAAUGAAGUUGAAAAUAGCACAGGAGCCCACUAUCAUUGUGUGAACAUUUUGUGAAUGAAGACAUGUACGAAAGGAUGUUUGGAGGCUUCAAGGAACGAAAGCCGAGAGUCUAGCUACACCAGAGCCAUCCAGCCCAGGAGCGAUGGCCACGUGUGGCCGCUGGACACGAGAGACGUAGCCGGUCCAAACUGCGCAGUGCGGGGCAGUGGAAGCCGUUGGAGGGCCUCAGGCAGGAACACAAGGUGUCGUGGCAGAAAGGAAGAAGGGGCCGGGCACAGUGGCCCACACCCAUCAUCGCAGCACUUUGGGAGGGAGGCCAAGGCAGGAGGAUCGCUUCAGCCCAGGAGUUCAAGAUCAGCCUGGGCAACACAGCAAGACCCCGUCUUUACUAAAACCCUAAAACUUAGCCAGGCUUGGUGGCAUGUGCCUAAGGUCCCAGGUCCUCGGGAGACUAAGGCAGGAGGAUUGCUUAAGCCCAAGAGUUUGAGGCUGCAGUGAACUAUGAUCACACCACUGCACUCAGCCUGGGUGACAGAGUGACUCUGUCUCAAAACUAAAUAAACAAAGGAACAAUAAUCAUGUU
rnacentral:lncRNA from 1 species